AUUGAACGCUGGCGGCAGGCCUAACACAUGCAAGUCGAGCGGAUGAAGGGAGCUUGCUCCUGGAUUCAGCGGCGGACGGGUGAGUAAUGCCUAGGAAUCUGCCUGGUAGUGGGGGAUAACGUCCGGAAACGGGCGCUAAUACCGCAUACGUCCUGAGGGAGAAAGUGGGGGAUCUUAGGACCUCACGCUCUCAGAUGAGCCUAGGUCGGAUUAGCUAGUUGGUGGGGUAAAGGCCUACCAAGGCGACGAUCCGUAACUGGUCUGAGAGGAUGGUCAGUCACACUGGAACUGAGACACGGUCCAGACUCCUACGGGAGGCAGCAGUGGAGAAUAUUGGACAAUGGGCGAAAGCCUGAUCCAGCCAUGCCGCGUGUGUGAAGAAGGUCUUCGGAUUGUAAAGCACUUUAAGUUGGGAGGAAGGGCAGUAAGUUAAUACCUUGCUGUGUUGACGUUACCAACAGAAUAAGCACCGGCUAACUUCGUG
rnacentral:rRNA from 1 species